rnacentral:lncRNA from 1 species
UCUCUUUAACUUCACGCCGCUCUUGUACAAUACUCAAAACUAGUGACUCCGAUUAUGCCAACCUCCUCUCCGUUUGGAUGAACUCGCUUUAAUGCUGAAUCCCUUUAGUCAGCGGACUGAUCUCCUCCCGAGAUCUAUUUAAACCCCUCUCUCGAAGAACCGAUCUUCUUUUUGUAUAGAAGAAGCAAACUUGUUAUAUCUUGG